rnacentral:lncRNA from 1 species
UUUCUUAUUUAAAAUAUUUUCUUCGUCCAUAAAAUUACCCAAAAAUAUUUUUCACUUUUCUUAACAUUUUAUUUAAUUUUAUAUAAUUUUUAUUUUCGUAUUUUUUUAAUAUUAAUAUUUUAUUUUAAUUAUUUAUUCUAAAUGGUCCAUUUUAACACACUUUUUUUAUUGAUUUUAUUUUUAUGACUUAAAAUUAUUGUUAGCAUUUGAUUUUUGGGAUGAAG